GUUUUUAAUAGUUGAAUACAACGGCGGUUUUUCGGGUCGCAGGUUUUGGUUAUAGGCCAAAUUAAAAUA